AGAGUUUGAUCAUGGCUCAGGAUGAACGCUAGCUACAGGCUUAACACAUGCAAGUCGCGGGGUAACAUCUGGUAGAGCUUGCUCUUCCAGGAUGACGACCGGCGCACGGGUGAGUAACGCGUAUCCAACCUGGCCCAUACCACGGGAUAGCCCGUCGAAAGGCGGAUUAAUACCGUAUGCUGUCAUUAAGAUGCAUAUAUUGAUGACGAAAGGACUGGCGGUAUGGGAUGGGGAUGCGUCUGAUUAGCUUGUUGGCGGGGUAACGGCCCACCAAGGCGACGAUCAGUAGGGGUUCUGAGAGGAAGGUCCCCCACAUUGGAACUGAGACACGGUCCAAACUCCUACGGGAGGCAGCAGUGAGGAAUAUUGGUCAAUGGGCGCAAGCCUGAACCAGCCAAGUAGCGUGAGGGAAGACUGCCCUACGGGUUGUAAACCUCUUUUGUUUGGGAAUAAAGUGCGGGACGUGUCCCGCAUUGCAUGUACCAUUUGAAUAAGGACCGGCUAAUUCCGUGCCAGCAGCCGCGGUAAUACGGAAGGUCCGGGCGUUAUCCGGAUUUAUUGGGUUUAAAGGGAGCGCAGGCCGUGGGUUAAGCGUGUCGUGAAAUUCCGUCGCUCAACGGCGGACGUGCGGCGCGAACUGGUCCACUUGAGUACGCGGGACGUUGGCGGAAUUCGUGGUGUAGCGGUGAAAUGCUUAGAUAUCACGAAGAACUCCGAUUGCGAAGGCAGCUGACGGUAGCGCAACUGACGCUGAGGCUCGAAAGUGCGGGUAUCGAACAGGAUUAGAUACCCUGGUAGUCCGCACGGUAAACGAUGGAUGCCCGCUAUUCGCCCACCUGGGCGAGUGGCCAAGCGAAAGCGUUAAGCAUCCCACCUGGGGAGUACGCCGGCAACGGUGAAACUCAAAGGAAUUGACGGGGGCCCGCACAAGCGGAGGAACAUGUGGUUUAAUUCGACGCAACGCGAAGAACCUUACCAAGUCUUGACAUCCUGCGACGGACAUAGAAAUAUGUUUUUCCUUCGGGACGCAGAGACAGGUGGUGCAUGGUUGUCGUCAGCUCGUGUCGUGAGAUGUUGGGUUAAGUCCCGCAACGAGCGCAACCCUUAUGGUCAGUUACUACGCAAGAGGACUCUGGCCAGACUGCCGUUGACAAAACGGAGGAAGGUGGGGAUGACGUCAAAUCAUCAUGCCCUUUAUGACUUGGGCUACACACGUACUACAAUGGCGUUAAACAAAGAGAAGCAAGACCGCGAGGUGGAGCAAAACUCAGAAACAACGUCCCAGUUCGGACUGCAGGCUGCAACUCGCCUGCACGAAGUCGGAAUUGCUAGUAAUCGCAGAUCAGCAUGCUGCGGUGAAUACGUUCCCGGGCCUUGUACACACCGCCCGUCACACCAUGAGAGCCGGGGGGACCCGAAGUCGGUAGUCUAACCGCAAGGAGGACGCCGCCGAAGGUAAAACUGGUGAUUGG
rnacentral:rRNA from 1 species